AUGGAAUGCAAUGCUCAGAGUAGUAAAUUAUUUGUUAGUUGACGAUGCAAUCAGCAUGCUGAUUAAGGUUGCUUGGUUUUUUACUAAACAUUAACUGAAUGAAAACGGUUGGUCCUUGUUGUUCUGCUUGGGGGGCUUUGGUGAAGCAAAUGGACUUUCAGAACAGAGAUUGUCAAUAAAGGAGUUGUAUAUCAUUAGAAAACAUGGAUUCCCAAUGGGAGCUGGCACAUGCUUCGAGCCCUGGAAAAGCCUAAGGUCAUCACCAUUUGUUACAGACCAUGUAGGAAGAAGAGCUGACCUGAAGAAGAGUUCUGUGAGCUCAGCAGCAGCCACUGCCAGUAGCACCAAGGGGCACAAGAGGGGGUGCAUUAUUGGAAUAUUUGACCAUUUGAUUUUAUAACUGUUACCUUCCCUCCUCCCAUCUAGUAUUGCUUACCGCACUAGCUGCAAGUUAGACUGUAGACUGUUUGGGGCAGAGGCUGUGUCUGCUUCUGGGCUUGUGCAGGGUCUAGCAGAAAGAGGACCCAAUCCUGCAAGAGACCUCUGAGCAUACUGAAAUAUGAAUAAUAAUGAUGAGCUUUUGUCAGUAGCUGAGAGAGCAGUGACACACCAUAGCUGUGUUUAUAUUAUGUGAAAAUCUAGAUUAUUCAGGCACAAGUGUGAUCAGAAUAGGGCCUUUAAUGCCUUAAAAGUUCACUUUGAUUCUGGAAUAUAUAGAUGGGGCUAUCUAGUGGGAACCAAUUAAUGUGAUGAGGUGUACAGUAUGCAUAGAAAGAACUGCAGCUGUCAGCCAGUGUAGGGAGCAGGGAUGCUAUGAUCUGUUACCGCUUUAAUUAACUAUUGAAUUAUUUUGAAAAUACUUUUAGUAGGAUUAAUUUCUUUUGGUUUCCUUCUUAUGUUCCUAGAGCACAAUAGAAAGCUGACUAAAAUGAAACCUUUGAGAAGUGUUUCAUCAUUUGAGAUCUAGGUUAAGUUAAAAAAAUUGAAAUGAGUUGACUUAUAGUUGUUUUGGUUUUUUUUAAUUAUUUUAUUUUAUAGCAAGUAUGGAAUUAGUUUGAACUUGUCGUUGCCUUGGCGGGGAAAAUAAACAUUAAAUAGAAGCAAAGUCAAUCACGUUUGAACAUUUGCAUUUUUACCAUUGAGUAUGUUUACUUGAAUUAUCAUCUUGUAGCAGACAUCUCUGCUUUGCUUUGAUCUCAUGCUACCAAAGAUAUUUUACACGAAGCAAUCAUUAAAAACCCCACACACAAUUAUGACAAUUUCUGAAAAGCUCAUCAGUUAAUAUAAGGUGCAGGGGCUUUUCAUUUUAAUUUUAAUGUGUUGUAGUGUAGAAUUAAAAAAUAAUGAAGUGUUUUAAAGAAUCUUUAGAUUUUACUUCCUCCUAGUAUAGCAGCAAGAAAUGUGUGCUUAAUGUGAAAAAUGAAGGUGAAAGGAACAAGACUGGACAACUUUUAGGAUGCAUAAAGUACCGAGUGAUGAACCAAUAGGGUACUGUGUGCUAUUGAGUUAAUAGAAAUAAAACAUUCUGUGAGACUUGUGAGUCAUUAAUUCAAAUGCUGGUGUAAAUAUGGUUUAAUUCAUCAUCACUUCUUUAAAUUAUGUUUAUAUACAGUUCCUGCAUACAGCCUCUACUGCCUUGUGUGAAAUGCCAUUGACUGAGCUAGCAUUUUCAUUUAUACAAACAGUAUUUCCUGUGUUGCCAGAAGAUGGGAGAAAUAGUAAUCUCUGGUUAUCAGUGAUACAGAUGGGCAAUAGAAAAGUCCCAUUAAUUUCAAAUUAGCUUUCUGAAUAAGUUUAAAUUAAAUAAUUUCCUAGAUAGCUCCUAAUAUUUGCAUGUUUUUUAUCAUAAUGAUGUAUAACUGAUGGGCGUUGUAAGGAGAACAUAGCAAAUUAAUAUGUGCUCUUACUGAAAAUUAUUCUUUUUCAUUAUGAAGUAUACUUAGGAUAGUAGAAAAGCAUUUUAAAUGUGUAGAUACAUGAGAUUGUCAACCAAAUAUGAUACGCACAUCUAGAUGUAAAAAGAAUGUUUUUUUCACACAAAACAUGUUUUUAAUAAAAGCAUUCCGUUUUCUUUUCUAAAACCCAGUCAUGUACCUUUUUAAAGACAUGCAAGAAAAUUUGGAUCCCAGUCCUGCUCCCCCUGAAGUCAGUGGCUAAACUCCCAUGGACCUAGAACUG